CCUCUGAACUCUGUUCCAGAAGCUGAUGAAAAUUUAUUGGGAGGUGAGCUCAUGUCAUUUAGGAAGUAGCUUUUCCUGGGUAAGUACUGCCCUGAGAGUGUGCUCAGGUUACAGUUCAUGAUUUAAAUGCUUGGUUUCACUUGGUUUGAGAUCAAGCAAAUUGAGGAACUUUGUUUAAAAUUCUCUACCCUCAAAUUCCAGUGUCUCAGCUGAUGUAUUUAAGAAUCAAAUUUCCCUCUGGUUUGUGGUGUUGGAGACAGUCUGGGUGCAGUGCUGAAAUGUUGGAUACUGCGGGGUGUUAUGGUUGGAAUGGGUCAAAAAUACAUCAAUAUAGGGGAUGAAGCAUGAAGUAAAGAGGGAUCCUGACACUGGAACAUCCCACUGAAUGUGGAAUCAUCACCGACUGGGAUGACGUGGGAAAGGGAUAGAAGAGGCCCCUGUGGUCAUCCAGGCUGUCUUCCCUCACACUGCUGGCUGGGACAUGUGGCUGACUGCAGUGAAUGGCAAGGUGAGAAAAAGAUUUGGGUCCCAGUUAAUUGAUUAGCAG
rnacentral:lncRNA from 1 species